GCUGAUGCUACGCAUCUCGGCAUCGUACAAGAAAUUUUUGAUCAUGUCGAGAUUCCCUGCUAGCUUUGCUGCAUCUUUGUCGAGAUCUCGGAUUUGAGAGAUCUCUUUCUUGGAGAGGUCGAUGAGGUUUUGAACUAGAGCUUGAAGGACGGCGGCAGCAGCUUCUCCUUCCAUUCUUUAAUUGUGCUGAUAACUUAGAGAGAGAAAUUGAGUGUGUGUGUGUGUGUGAGUGAGAGAGAGCGCUAAGGAAUAGAAUUGGACGAGUGGUGCAAGCUGAAGAGUUUAAACUUUACAGGCUUUCAUUCUAGACAUGUUUUCUUUUUCAUUUUAUGUUAGUAAUAUUUCAAUCUUGGCCGACACCUUUUUUUAUUACUUUAGUUAGGUCAUUAAUACAUUAUUGAUAUGGUGGGACCGGUAUGAUUAAUAUAAAAAAUUAGGUAAAUAUAGUUAACAUUUCUAAAUAGUGGUAAAAGUAUUAAAAAUAUUAUAAAUAUGAUACCUUUAUAACCGGUAAAAAUUGAACAUUCUUCUUUUUUGACCGCUUCACAGAGUGCUUUAGAAUUUGGUAACAAAUUAAGCAAUGAAAGAUACCAAUAUGUACAACAAAAUCAAAACAUUUGAGUUACCUAUUUAAGUAUAUUAGUAUAUUAUGCAUGUAAUAAAUCUAAAAAUAUAUUAUGAUUUAUGUUUCAUAUUUUAAUAAUUAUUUAAGUAGUAGUAUCUAUUAAAAUCUUCAUCCACAUAUGUUAGUAUUUUUCAUUCUAUAAAUUUUAAUUAAGAAUUACAAUACAAAUUAUUUAUUUAAUAAUUUUAUUAGAAAUAAUUUUUUUUUCUAGAAUCCUUGGAAUUAAAAUUAACUAUGUAAAGAUGAAAACCUAGAAAAUAAACAUAAAUUUCAUAUCAAUUUUCUUCACUUUUUUAUCGUCUAUUUUUCUUGCGACAAAAAAUUAAGUGAUGCUUAAUUAAUUUCUUCAUUCACAUAACGGCUUUUUAUUUUGUAAAUAUAAUAAUUUAGAAUUACAAUACAAAUUAUUUAUUUAACAGUUUUAUUAGAAGUUUAAUUUUUCUAUAAUUCUUUUAAUUAAAAUUAAUUAUGUAAAAAUGAUACAUAAAAAAUAAACAUGAAUCUCAUACUAAUCUUCUUUUCUUUUUACCGUUUUUCUAAUGACAACAAAAUUAGGUUAUGUUUAAUUAAUUAAAACUAAUUUUUUAUAUUAAAUGUAGAUGAGUAUUUCAAUUUUAUGAGUUUUAUAAUGUUAUAAUUUUCAAUAGUUAUUCAAUAAUUAAAUUCAAAAAUAUAUUAAAAUAAUAAUUAUGCAAUAAAAUGAAAUGAAUUAGUAUAAUUUUACACUCAUAAUUUAUUAAAAUAAUUUCUUUUUAUUAAAUGUAGAGGGAGUACUUUUGUAAUUAUCUCAUAUUUUUUCAAAAAUUUCGGCACCUAAUUAUUGUGUAAUGCCUUUCAUAAAACAUUCAAAUAAUUUAUUUAUUUAUUCUUUUUCUCUUCAGAUUACAUCGCAGAGCAACGGUACGACAAGGUUAAAAGCUAGCGAAUCCUAUGCGAGUAACACCACGCGCUUCACCGUUUAGAUUCCCGCCCGCCUCCAUUUUGAAAAUCAGUUCGCAGAGUUCGGAAUCUGCACCGGGAUCUGAAAAUAGCCCCCUUCUUCUCCAUCUUCAAUUCCGGAAUUUCAACCUUACCUUUUAUGAAUCUUCUCUUAACUUAUCAGUUUUCGCUCCGUCGACGCGCCGCAGGAAGUGGGGGAGAGAUGCGUUCGGAUUCCAAAAAACGAAUCACCGUCAGCUCCGCGCCGCGUGCUCCCUCCGCNUUUCCGACGCAACAUCAUCUCUUCCAAUAAAAAUUAGGUACAAGAGUGUAUGAAUUAGUUCCAAAGUAGCAAUAACCAAAGUGGGCUCAUUGGCAAGUUUCUCUACGAGGCCAAGCUCGGCGGCCUCUUUGUUAAUGGACUCCAAAUUCUCAUUGAUUUCUUUGAUUUUAAGAGCCAUAUUUCGAGAACGUGAAAUAUGCUUGAAGCAUGAGAAGCAUGAUGGUACCUUUUCCUUCUUGGGUUCGGCGGGCUUGAUUUGUUUGGAGAGAAUAUGAUAGUUGAGUUCAUCCAAAACAUUGUCAGCAUCGAACGCCACGUCUUCAAGCUUCUUCAGCCAGCUCUUGACUGCUUUGUUGCUGAUGCUACGCAUCUCGGCAUCGUACAAGAAAUUUUUGAUCAUGUCGAGAUUCCCUGCUAGCUUUGCUGCAUCUUUGUCGAGAUCUCGGAUUUGAGAGAUCUCUUUCUUGGAGAGGUCGAUGAGGUUUUGAACUAGAGCUUGAAGGACGGCGGCAGCAGCUUCUCCUUCCAUUCUUUAAUUGUGCUGAUAACUUAGAGAGAGAAAUUGAGUGUGUGUGUGUGUGUGAGUGAGAGAGAGCGCUAAGGAAUAGAAUUGGACGAGUGGUGCAAGCUGAAGAGUUUAAACUUUACAGGCUUUCAUUCUAGACAUGUUUUCUU
rnacentral:lncRNA from 1 species